GACGAACGCUGGCGGCGUGCUUAACACAUGCAAGUCGAACGGAAAGGCCCUGCUUUUGUGGGGUGCUCGAUUGGCGAACGGGUGAGUAACACGUGUGUAACCUGCCCUUGACUGUGGGGUAACUUCAGGAAACUGGGGCUAAUACCGGAUAGGAGCUCCUGCUGCAUGGUGGGGGUUGGAAAGUUUCGGCGGUUGGGGAUGGACUCGCGGCUUAUCAGCUUGUUGGUGGGGUAGUGGCUUACCAAGGCUUUGACGGGUAGCCGGCCUGAGAGGGUGAACGGCCACAUGGGGCCUGCGAUAGGGACCAGACUCCUACGGGAGGCAGCAGGGGGGAAUAUUGCACAAUGGGCGGAAGCCUGAUGCAGCAACGCCGCGUGCGGGAUGACGGCCUUCGGGUUGUAAACCGCUUUCGACGGUGACGAAGCGUGAGUGACGGUAAUGGGUAAAGAAGCACCGGCUAACUACGUG
rnacentral:rRNA from 1 species